AAUGGGGACAACCUUCCGAAAGGAGGGCUAAUACCGAAUGAGACCACAGUAGCUCCGGCUACAGGGGUUGAAGAUGGCCUCUAUUUAUACGCUAUCGCUUAGAGAUGGGCUUAUGCACCAUUAGCUUGUUGGUGAGGUAACGGCUCACCAAGGCUCUGAUGGUUAACUGAUCUGAGAGGUUGAUCAGUCACACUGGAACUGAGACACGGUCCAG
rnacentral:rRNA from 1 species